rnacentral:rRNA from 1 species
GUUAGCGGCGGGCCUACACAUGCAAGUCGAACGCGAAAGCCCUUCGGGGCAAGUAGAGUGGCGCACGGGUGAGUAACACGUAGGUAAUCUACCCUCAGGCGGGGGACAACUUUCCGAAAGGAAAGCUAAUACCGCAUAAGACCACGCCCUCCUCGGAGGAAGUGGGAAAAGAUGGCCUCUUCUUGAAAGCUAUCACCAGAGGAUGAGCCUGCGUCCCAUCAGCUAGUUGGUAAGGUAAUGGCUUACCAAGGCUUAGACGGGUAGCUGGUCUGAGAGGAUGAUCAGCCACACUGGCACUGGAACACGGGCCAGACUCCUACGGGAGGCAGCAGUAGGGAAUAUUGGGCAAUGGACGCAAGUCUGACCCAGCCAUGCCGCGUGCAGGAAGACGGCCCUCUGGGUUGUAAACUGCUUUUAUCAGGGAAGAAACCCUUCUACGUGUAGAAGGCUGACGGUACCUGAGGAAUAAGGAUCGGCUAACUCCGUGCCAGCAGCCGCGGUAAUACGGAGGAUCCAAGCGUUGUCCGGAUUUAUUGGGUUUAAAGGGUGCGUAGGCGGACUUAUAAGUCAGAGGUGAAAGCCGGUAGCUUAACUAUCGAAUUGCCUUUGAAACUGUAAGUCUUGAAUUUUGUUGAGGUAGGCGGAAUGUAUCAUGUAGCGGUGAAAUGCAUAGAUAUGAUACA